UUGUACAUCAUGUGGGUAAAAGUGUUGUAUCAGUUUGUUUUCCUGGUAGCGUUUUUGUGGUCAGUUGAAAAAAACACCCUCCUCUUUUUAUUGAAAGACCCCCCUUCCUGGGUCUCACUUCAGUUCCAGACAUUGCAAAGCUUCAGUCGUGUGUGCAGUGGUGAACUUUACCUUGAUAACAGCUUAGUCUCUUAAGACAGUCUUUACAGCCUGUGCUAACUUAAUUACAUUUGACGUCAUAUUUCUGUUAACCUAGCUUUAAUUAAGACUUAAAUCAAUUAAUUGAUUAAUUUUAAUUGUAGGGCAUUUUCUUGUUUAAGAACACAUUUGAUUUGUUUAAUCCUGGAUCUCCAUCAGUGGGUCUCAGACUAUGGAGGUCCAUCCAGAAGAAAUCAUGCUGCAGUGCUCCAACAUCCAGUUCAUAACAUUCCAGUUCACUGGUCCAGCUGGAGCAGAGUCAUGUUUACAGGUGAUAAAAGUGUUGAAUGCUGCAAAGGAUUUCAAAGUGGAUCAUCUGAAAUGACUUUCAGCAUCUCAACCAUCUUCUUCCUAACCAAACGUGGAUGUAUUUGACUGUGGAAUGUAUUUCUAUGGAUUUAAUUGAGAUGUAUAUCCAGGUUUUAGAAUGAUACACUUAAAUAUUAAAGGUAAGAAAAAUUCAAAGUUUCUUUUGAUCAGAUUUCUUUGUUUUAAAUGUUAAAAUGCACAAAAAUAUAUUUAUCCAGCUGUCAAAACAAAGAUGACAUGAAAAUUAUUUUCAUUGUAUUGAAAGGCAACAGUGAAUUUGAUGAUGUGGACAACUAGCAAAGGAAAGAGUGACAGACCGAGAGACCUGAAUUUGAACCAAUGAAAUGAUUGUAAAUAUCUUGUAAAUAUCAUCAGUGGUAUGGCUGUUAAAGUCAAGAAACUCCAUACGUGUACUAAGAGGAUUUAUCUGAUCAUUUUUUGCUAAGUAUGAAAGAGGUUUUAGCAUAAUGAUGAACAUGCUAAAACAUUGAUGCCAUGUUGUUCUGUCUCUGUAAUGUAGCUGCUGCUGCUGAAUGACAGAAACUGCAUUAAUAUUUAUCUUCUUUUUUUGUUCACUGUUUAUGCCAUUUUUUCAUUAAUUAAUUAAGACACUGCGAGUUGUUACUGUACUUUGAAGAAUCUGGACUCACCUGAAGCAGCUGGAAUAAGAAACAGAAGAUCCAAUUUUUGUUUGUUGGAGGAGGCUGGAACAAUCACAACAGUCUAUCUUGAUUCUCUUAUAAUGAGAGGUAGAUGAAGUUCUGGACGUGGAUCUGAGCUCAACCACCUUAAGGUUACAGCUGCCAUAGGGAAAGAAGCAGGGUACACCCUGAAAAGGUUGCAAGUCCAUUACAUAACUAAACAAUCAUCGUUCCUGCAGUAUUUUCUCCAGCCCACCGCACUACCGCCACCAUUUUUGACUGCUGGUAUGAUGUUCUUUCUAUGAAAUGGUGGGUUAGUUUUACAUCAGCAGUGGCUUUCACUUUCACUUUCAAACACUCCCAUGGAUGCCAUUUUUGAAAAAGUCUCUUUCUUGUUGUUGAAUCAUGAACACUGAGCUUAACUGAAACAAGUGAAGCCUGCGGUUCUUUAGAUGUUGUUCUGGGUUCUUUUGUGACCGCUUGUAUGAGUUGUCAGUAAUAAAUUACCUGAAAAUUAAGUGUGACAAAUAUGCAAAACAGAAAACGGCAAAGAGGUAAAUACUUUUUCACUUGCACUGUAGGCUGCAACUAAACAUGCAUGUUUCUGAACACGGGUGGAAAAAACACUGCUGGUCAUUAGAAAAAAUACAAGUAUAAGCAGUUUUCACUUUUCAGACCCAAAAGCUAAGUACAGCUUUUAAGUGCAUUGUGUGCUCCAGAUGCUGUUCUUUAUCCCCUGACCACCAGCAUGACUCACCAACUGUUUUCUUACCUUUAUCACCCACCUGUUCUCAAAUCUGCCUGGACACAGGUUUUUUUGUUUGUUUGUUGUCUUAGUCUUCUCUGCAAUCAUUAUUUUGAGAAAGUGGGAAGGAAAAACUCAAUUUUAACAGGAAGAAACCUCCUGCAGAACCAGGCUUGAGGAGCAAAUUUCCACGUCAUCUUCAUCAGGCUAUGAGACAAUGUCAGACCAGAAUAGACUGAGGAGCAUUUAAUGUUUCAGUGGGUUGCAUUUAAAGUGUCAUAGAUUGAAUAUGUUAGAAACAAAUCACAGUAGAAGUAUGAACACGUAUGAAUUCACAGCAUUACUUUUCAUCCAGCAUUGCUCUCUCAUUUGAACUUGUGUUGAGUUUUCCUAUUGUAUCUUUUAUAACCUUAAAAGUCCUUACAUGUGUCUCCUGUUCCUCUCUGAAUGAAGCAUCACUCUUUGGUCCUUUGUUUUUGUAGAAGGAAAGCCUGAAGAGGAACUUUGCUGGCAACUGUGAAGAGGUGAUAUUUUUCAUGUCUGCUGUGGUGUCUUAAAUUUCCGCUUCUGAUCUUUAUCUCAACAAAUAAGGUGUUACUUGAUGUUUGUGAAACUUACUCACAGGUCACAAAUGGUCUGCAGGGGGAGGGAGGGAUGAAUGACAUACUUAUCACUUCAGCUGAAAUCACACAGCGUCAACAGUCAGUCUUUUAGGAGAAGAAGAGGCGGUGAAACCUGACCUAGUUGGUUUUGACUUGAUAAAAUCAGCGUUUGUAGUUGUACAGACUUUUGGAAAAGUAAUAUCACAAAUUAAAUUAUUGUCAUCUUUGCUGGUGUAUUUACAAGGAAUAUAUAUAUUAAAGGGACUAAUAAAUAAUGAAGCCACAACAUGUAUGUUUCUAAUAAGGUUAUGUGGUCUGGGUGUAAUUUAAAACAAGUGUUUUUAUCAGAAUAUACAUCUCUUAAUUUCACCAGAUACUGUGAGAUUUAUUUUUUUAAAUUGUCUCUGUUGUAUCCUGACACAUUUGUUGUUUAUAUGAAAAAUACAAAAGAUGCAGCUUUCUUCUCUGUCCAUGUUCUUAUACAUAUUUCAGCCAGCACCUGGGGAGGGAUUUUAAUUCAAUUCAAUUCAAUUCAAUUUUAUUGAGUGCCAAAUCACAAAAAAUGUCGCCUCAAGGCACUUUAUAUUGUAAGAUAGACCCUGUAACAAUACAUACAAAGAAAAUAACAACAGUCAUAUGACCCCCGAUGAGCAAGCACUUUGGCUGCAGUGGGAAGGAAAAACUCCCUUUUUACAGGAAGAAACCUCCAGCAGAACCAGACUCAGGGCGGAGCAGCAAUCUGAACCAUUUGGAUGCAGGAAUUACAGUCGAGGAUGCGUUGACUAACAGGUGCCUCAUCACAAGAAGUGUGGCUGAUCGGUAGGCCAGAUCUCUGCUAACACAUUGUGUGAAUACUGAAAGUGAUUAUCAUAAUCCUUGAUCACUGUUAGCAGUCAGCAUAAUAACUGCUUUGUAACAAGCCGCUUCCGCUUUUUUUGGUAAAAAAUUGUGUUUCAUUUUCUUUUAAAUUGACUUACAAUUGUUUUAAACCUGACACAAAUGAUUGAACGCACACGCACGCUUAAGACAGAAAGUAUCAGUAUAGAUUUUGCUCAUUUGUUGUCAAGCUGUUUCUUGCCUAAAAGCUGUGAUGUGGUCAUGAUGUUGUGGUAAAAGCUGCAUCUUUAUUUUUAUGAUGCUUUUUUUUCCCUUUUUCCCCUUUUCUUUAUGAAUCAUUUGACAGUUUGUGUGUCGAGCAAAGCUAAUAUAAAAACCGCGCAUGACUAAAGUCAGAAAUGUGCCUAGCUAAAAUGAAAGAGAAAGUAGUUCAGAAAAUGUGUCUAUACCUGUGCAAAUGAUCUGGGGAAGAAAAAGAAGUGCACAAACUAAGAAGGCAACAAAUAGCAAUGGAAUAGUCUAAACCACAGGAAGACUGGUUUGUACCUGUAACCACACACAUCAAGGGCCUGGCAGAUGAUGCUUAAAGAGUUACUUUACCUUUAAGCCUGUCUCUAACAGUCAACCACUGUGUUUAACUUCAUUUAUACCACCUGACUGGUCUUCACAUUAAAAUCUGCUCUGCUGAAACAAGAGGUCUAUUACCAAACACUUGCAUACAUACGUAGUAUGAGGCUAACAUAUCAUAGGUGAGUGUGAAGAAUAGCCAUUAAUCAUUAUUGUGUCUGUCUGACAAAUUACUGGUGUGCUUUGCAGUAACUUGCUGCAUGUCUAUACACAUGAUCCCAUCCACACAUUUAGGAAACACUAAAAAUCCCAAGACCACACAAUAGAAAGACUUGAGGUCUGUUUCAUGCAUCAAAAAGAAUAACGCAUUUUAUAUUUUGUGAUAUGUUUCAGAGUUUAAAUGUACUGGUUUCCAGGUUUUAUAAUUAAUAAUGCCACUGGACUUCAAAGGUGGAGGCCUGUAGGUGGAGCAAAAGUUUAGACUUUUUUUGAACACCAGCAGCUGAUCCAGCUCAUCUGCUUUUGUGCUUUUUCUUAAUGAUGUUCUGUUCUUUACAUGAUGAGCAAGGAAGUCAUAAAAGCAAGUUGUAAGUCAAAAGUAAGAGUUUGAUGUGAGUUUGCAGCAGUGGCAAAGUGAGUGUCUAACAGGAAGAGGCAACUCUGUGUGGUUUGAACACAAAUGGAGUGAAGAGAGUGAGGCCUGUAAGUGCAAAAGCCAAACGUACAAGCAAGCAGUAAAAACCAGCUGAAAGAAAACGUUCUCAAGAAUAGCAACAAACAGCUUUAUCUGACUUAAUCCACUGCCACCCCUCAGAACUCCAAUGUAGACUGUUUAAAAGAGGACUGAUAUGAUUUCUCUGUGUCCUAUAGCUAGUCAUGGCUACCCAGUUAAUGGAACAAUCCAAAGUAAAUCUGAGGCAGUGUUUGAUAAAAGUGAGAGCAUAUAAUUAUUAAUCAGACCCUCCCUCUCUAAAGCCUAAGAUAAGACAGAUAAAAUUCAAAACAGUCAACUUUGAAUUAUAUUUUUUUAAUUACAUUUUGCUGUUGAUUCCUAAAACUAAGUGAAAAGGCUCCAUAAUUGUGUCACUAAGAAUGAAUACUUACAGUCAUUUAUCCUGGAGGAUAAAAGACUUGAUACAAUUGACUGCCCCCUUGUUACGUGUGCUGUUGGUUUCUCUGUUGUGUGACGUAUGUAUGUAAAUUCACCUGUGCAGGGGCUCGGCUGUGAUUGGUGGACCUAAUGACCGGCCUGAUGUGACUGGUUCCUGCGGUGGCCGUGGGCUACAAAGGGGCGACUGAAGAGCUGCACUGGUUGGGAUGUGUGGCAGACUUCCCAUGCACCUGCCUCUGGUCCAGACGGCGCGGCCGCAGCUACAGUCUUUUAGCAUAAAGUCGGGCAUGUGUGUGAGGUGCGGAGUAAGUAGGGGUGAGCUGCCGAUUAUUUUGAGAUGCCUUCUUUUCUCCUGUGUUUUUUAGACCAGGGAGGUCAGUCUGUGUUAUUUCUUUGUUUUCUUUUCCGUGGAUAGGUUAGAGGGGAACCGAAGCAUAGGUUGAGUUUUGUUUAUUGUUUUGGCCUUGGCUCACCCCGAAGUAUAUACUCCCCAUUGUGCCAUUAGUGUUAAUAAAUUAUUGUUAAGAAUCAAA